rnacentral:misc_RNA from 1 species
UUUCCGUAGGUGAACCUGCGGAAGGAUCAUUAUCAAGAGUCUGCGCCAAAAGUGCAGCUCGCCUCUCACCCUUGCUUAUACGCACCUUUUGUUGUUUCCUCGGCGGGGCUUCCCCCUGCCGGUGGGACGCUCAUUUAAACCUUUCGCAUCAGCAUGAAACUUCUGAACAUAACCUAAAUAUUUACAACUUUCAACAAUGGAUCUCUUGGUUCUGGCAUCGAUGAAGAACGCAGC